rnacentral:rRNA from 1 species
CCAUGCACACCAUCUUCACAUCCAAUCUCAUCUGAUUUUAGAAGCUGAACAGGGUUGGGCCUGGUUAGUACUAGGAUGGGCAAUGCCACUGAUAUCCAGGCCAUUUUAGGA